rnacentral:lncRNA from 1 species
AUGCUGAAAGUCUGUCUGUGGUCGACUGUCGUAGAGGGGUCGGAGCUGCGCUGGGUCUGCGAUGUGGCAGGGCAGGCAGGUCCGCAGGCAAGCAGACCCCAGACGGCGGAUUUGCACCUUCCAGCCGAGGAUCCCAAUCAUCUGACAUGUAUACCAGCGAGUAUUGGGGUAGCCUCUGUUUGCUGUGAUGCCUUAGCACAAAUGGCAUGCGAGUCCCAAUGUGAGCUCCAGACCCAGCGACUGCUGGCUCCAGCAGACAGACACCAAGGUUGCCCGGAGAGAUGUGCACACACUGGAUCCAUCUAUUAAGACAGCAGGAUGUGGCUGUUGGACCCCAUUAGCAUCCCAGGAAUGUUGGGAAGAGAGACCACUYGGCAUCGGGACUGCAGGCAGCCCUACAACCGAUCUUCAUCCAGAACCACAGUCAGAAAACAUCCACCCUGCCUCCCAGUCCCUGCCAUCGCAGGCCAUCAAACAUUUGCUGUCCUAAAGUGUUAAUGUGGCUCGCAUCAGGGUGAGCAAGCGUGCGUGCAGGUAGGUGGUAGCUAUUUCUCGGAGUAGCUGGUAUCCUCAUCUAUUCUUGCUGCAACUGAGCUGUUCCAGCUCUAAUUGCCCAGAAUGGUACAAGCACUUUACGUCUCGCUCCUGUCCCUGUAACAGCGCGCCUUUGCCUGUUCCGGCUGCCAGAAGGCAGGGGUGGCCGCCCUCUGCGAGCAGGUCCUUGCACCAUACUGCAGAGCUGCUGGAAAAAAGCUCCUUGCUGGACAGAGAGCGUCUCUCUUCUGAGCAGGCUGAUUCAGUUCACAUUUGGGAGUGGGUGGGAGAGAGGAUGCUGGAGCUCGCUGGAAAGGCAUGUUUGUCGCUUAGCAACAGGGUCAGAGGAAGCCAACCAAAAGGAAGGAUUGCAGAGCCUCUCCUGGCAGCCAGGUAUCCAUGCUUGACUGCGCCGAGCAAAUCUCUCCGCGUGUACCACGCAAACCCUUUCAGAGGCAGAAACCGCCCCCCCCCCCCCGUUGCCACUCCUCCCCCCCGGCCUUGCUGCUGCCAGGCCCUGCGAUGCGGUGUGUUAUUUACUUUUUGGUGGUUUAGCUUCAUUUCAAAAGAUUACCGGGUUUCACGAUUUUGAGCUCGUGUUAAUAUAAUAACAGAUUGCAGGUGAUUAUCACUGUCAUUGUUUCUGUUGGCAGGGCACCACAGAGACACAAAAUGCAUUCGGUUCCCUCUACCUCACAGCCAGGGGAGGACUUAACUGCUCUCUAUCACGCUUGUAUUUAGCCUUGGUCCACUUGCAGCUUGAUUUCUCCUGCCAAAGAAGCA